rnacentral:rRNA from 1 species
AUUGAACGCUGGCGGCAGGCCUAACACAUGCAAGUCGAGCGAGCGGCGGACGGGUGAGUAAUGUAUGGGGACUGACCGAUAGCGGGGGAUAACUACUGGAAACGGUAGCUAAUACCGCAUACUAUCGGAUAACCCAUAUGGGAUUAGCUAGUAGGUGAGGUAAUGGCUCACCUAGGCGACGAUCCGUAGCUGGUCUUAGCGGCUGAUCAGCCACCCGGGGACUGAGACACGGCCCAGACUCCUACGGAGGCAGCAUUGGGGAAGAUUGCACAAUGGGCGCAAGCCUGAUGCAGCCAUGCCGCGUGGAUGAAGAAGGCCCUAGGGUUGUAAAGUACUGUCAGUCGGGAGGCGUUACCGACAGAAGAAGCACCGGCUAACUCCGUGCCAGCAGCCGCGGUAAUUC